UUCAGCAUUUAGAUUGCCCCUCACUAAUCUUGUCUGAUCUCAGAAGCUAAUCAGGUGUGGCCUGGAUUGGACAUGGAUAGGAGACAACCUGGGAAUACUGAGU
rnacentral:rRNA from 1 species